CUCUAUCCUUCCUUUAUUCAAUCUCUCUAUCCCUUCUUUAUUCAAUAGCCCUCCUUUAUUCAAUUUCUCAGUCUCUCUAUCUUUCUUUAUUCCUUCUCUCAUCCACCUCUACUCUUUUUUUUCUUCCUUCUCUAUCUCUCUUUUCUUCCUUAUCUCUAUUCCUCUCUUCUUUUUCCUGCUUCUCUCUAUACCUCUGUCCUCCUUCCUUCUUCUAUCU